CUAAAUUGAAUGAACUUGUUUAGUACCUGCUUCAUUGUAAGCCACUCUUCAUUUCUUUACCAGAGAUAACAAUUUCUUUAUCAAGGACACUGACCUGCAUAUGUCAGAAUUAAACAUGGAAACUUCUUGCUUGUUUGGGUUAGCUGGAGGACUCCACAGACCAUCUGGCAAUUAGAAGAUGCUUCCAGCACUCCUAGAUAAGACCUUUCCUAAACUGACAGUUGAGCUCAGAGGACAGAGAUCUGAUGAUAUAGAUUUUCUUUUUUAUGUCUACAUUUGUUCUAUGCAGCGAAUUUUCUUUUUGGUCUAAAAUGUGUAUUCUCUACAUAAUCUUCUUUUAUAUUUAUGCACUUCUCACACAGAUGCUUCCAGCACUCCUAGAUAAGACCUUUCCUAAACUGACAGUUGAGCUCAGAGGACAGAGAUCUGAUGAUAUAGAUUUUCUUUUUUAUGUCUACAUUUGUUCUAUGCAGCGAAUUUUCUUUUUGGUCUAAAAUGUGUAUUCUCUACAUAAUCUUCUUUUAUAUUUAUGCACUUCUCACACAGAUGCUUCCAGCACUCCUAGAUAAGACCUUUCCUAAACUGACAGUUGAGCUCAGAGGACAGAGAUCUGAUGAUAUAGAUUUUCUUUUUUAUGUCUACAUUUGUUCUAUGCAGCGAAUUUUCUUUUUGGUCUAAAAUGUGUAUUCUCUACAUAAUCUUCUUUUAUAUUUAUGCACUUCUCACACAGAUGCUUCCAGCACUCCUAGAUAAGACCUUUCCUAAACUGACAGUUGAGCUCAGAGGACAGAGAUCUGAUGAUAAUGCCAUCCUCUCUGUAAACAACUAUUCUAUGGAGAAGGUAUCUAUAGCACAGAAUCCAUAAAACAGGUUUACAUUGUGAGACGUGUGUGCAUGAGAUAAA